rnacentral:rRNA from 1 species
CCUACGGGAGGCAGCAGUGAGGAAUAUUGGUCAAUGGUCGGAAGGCUGAACCAGCCAAGCCGCGGGAAGGAUGAAGGUGCCAAGCAUUGUAAACCUCUUUUGUCAAGGGACAAAACCAGGCACGCGUGCCUGCCCGCGGGUACUUGAAGAACAAGCAUCGGCUAACUCUGUGCCAGCAGCCGCGGUAAUACGGAGGAUGCGAGCGUUAUCCGGAUUUAGUGGGUGUAAAGGGUGCGUAGGCGGACGGCCAAGUCAGCGGUAAAAUCGCGGGGCUCAACCUCGCUCCGCCGUGGAAACUGGCGUUCUUGAGUGGGCGAGUAGUAUGCGGAAUGCGCGGUGUAGAGGUGA